CAAAGGUUUGGUCCUAGCCUUGAAGUCAGUUAUUACUUAAUAUACACAUGCAAGUAUCCGCCCCCCUGUGAAAACGCCCUUUAAUCCCCUCUAGGGACAAGGAGCUGGUAUCAGGCACGAAAAUCUGCCCAAGACACCUAGCUAUGCCACACCCACAAGGGAAUUCAGCAGUGAUUAACAUUGAGCAUUAGCGCAAGCUUGACUCAGUUAAAGUAAGAUAGAGCCGGCUAAUCUGGUGCCAGCCGCCGCGGUUACACCAUGUGGCUCAAAUUGACCCCUUCCGGCGUAAAGCGUGAUUAAAGUUAUUUAUUAAUAGAGUUAAACUGAAACUAAGCUGUGACACGCCUGUUUAUCAAGAAACCCAAAAACGAAAGUUACUCUAACUUAAUCAACUUGACUUCACGACAGCUGGG
rnacentral:rRNA from 1 species